rnacentral:SRP_RNA from 1 species
GCCGGGUUUGGUGGUGCAUGCCUGUAAUCCCAGCUACUUGGGAGGCUGAGGCAGGAGAAUCGCUUGAGCUUGGGAGGCGGUGCUUGCAGUGAGCCGAGAUCACGCCACUGCACUCCAGCCUGGGCGACAAAGCGAGACUCUGUCUCAA